rfam:Spiroplasma syrphidicola EA-1, complete genome.
CUCCUGUUAGCUCAGUCGGUAGAGCUGCUGGCUUUUAACCAGUAGGUCGUAGGUUCAAGUCCUGCACAGGAGA